rnacentral:rRNA from 1 species
GAUGAACGCUGGCGGCGUGCCUAAUACAUGCAAGUCGAGCGAACAGAUGAGGAGCUUGCUCCUCUGACGUUAGCGGCGGACGGGUGAGUAACACGUGGAUAACCUACCUAUAAGACUGGGAUAACUUCGGGAAACCGGAGCUAAUACCGGAUAAUAUAUUGAACCGCAUGGUUCAAUAGUGAAAGACGGUUUUGCUGUCACUUAUAGAUGGAUCCGCGCCGCAUUAGCUAGUUGGUAAGGUAACGGCUUACCAAGGCAACGAUGCGUAGCCGACCUGAGAGGGUGGUCGGCCACACUGGAACUGAGACACGGUCCAGACUCCUAGGGGAGGCGGCAGUAGGGAAUCUUCCGCAAAGGGCGAAAGCCUGACGGAGCAACGCCGCGUGAGUGAUGAAGGUCUUCGGAUCGUAAAACUCUGUUAUUAGGGAAGAACAAAUGUGUAAGUAACUAUGCACGUCUUGACGGUACCUAAUCAGAAAGCCACGGCUAACUACGUG